rnacentral:rRNA from 1 species
UACGUAGGGUGCGAGCGUUGUCCGGAAUUAUUGGGCGUAAAGGGCUCGUAGGCGGUUUGUCGCGUCGGAUGUGAAAACUCGGGGCUCAACCCCGAGCCUGCAUUCGAUACGGGCAGACUAGAGUCCGGAAGAGGAGAGUGGAAUUCCCGGUGUAGCGGUGAAAUGCGCAGAUAUCGGGAAGAACACCCGUGGCGAAGGCGGCUCUCUGGGACGGUACUGACGCUGAGACGCGAAAGCGUGGGGAGCGAACAGG